rnacentral:rRNA from 1 species
GACGAACGCUGGCGGCGUGCCUAAUACAUGCAAGUAGAACGCUGAAGGAGGAGCUUGCUUCUCCGGAUGAGUUGCGAACGGGUGAGUAACGCGUAGGUAACCUGCCUGGUAGCGGGGGAUAACUAUUGGAAACGAUAGCUAAUACCGCAUAACAGUAGAUAUUGCAUGAUAUCUGCUUGAAAGGUGCAAUUGCAUCACUACCAGAUGGACCUGCGUUGUAUUAGCUAGUUGGUGAGGUAACGGCUCACCAAGGCGACGAUACAUAGCCGACCUGAGAGGGUGAUCGGCCACACUGGGACUGAGACACGGCCCAGACUCCUACGGGAGGCAGCAGUAGGGAAUCUUCGGCAAUGGACGGAAGUCUGACCGAGCAACGCCGCGUGAGUGAAGAAGGUUUUCGGAUCGUAAAGCUCUGUUGUAAGAGAAGAACGAGUGAGAGAGUGGAAAGUUCACACUGUGACGGUAUCUUACCAGAAAGGGACGGCUAACUACGUG